rnacentral:tRNA from 1 species
GAGAGAGGCUCGCAAGCAACGAAGACUGCUAACUUUCGCAACCUCGGUUGAACCCCGAGGCUCACUCA